rnacentral:misc_RNA from 1 species
AACCAUAGAAACCUGCGGAGUACCUGCGGAGGGAUCAUUAAAAGAGUUCAUGCCACCCCCUUAAAAAAGGGUGGUAGACCUCCAAACCCCAUGUUUUUUUUAUUACCAUCUGUUGCUUAGGCGGUUCGUAAGGUCUUUUUAAUAAGGCUUUCCACUGGCUUUUUAGCUAGUGAGUUACCCGUCAAAGGACUUAAAAACUCUUUGAAUUUUUAAGGUUGUCUGAGUAAAUUUAUAAUUUUU